AGAGUUUGAUCCUGGCUCAGGAUGAACGCUAGCGGCAGGCUUAAUACAUGCAAGUCGAGGGGCAGCAUGAGUGUAGCAAUACAUUUGAUGGCGACCGGCAAACGGGUGCGGAACACGUACACAACCUUCCUUUAAGUGGAGAAUAGCCCAGGGAAACUUGGAUUAAUACUCCGUAACAUAUAGAAAUGGCAUCAUUUUUAUAUUAUAGCUCAGGCGCUUAGAGAUGGGUGUGCGGCUGAUUAGGUAGUUGGCGGGGUAACGGCCCACCAAGCCUGCGAUCAGUAACUGGUGUGAGAGCACGACCAGUCACACGGGCACUGAGACACGGGCCCGACUCCUACGGGAGGCAGCAGUAAGGAAUAUUGGUCAAUGGACGCAAGUCUGAACCAGCCAUGCCGCGUGGAGGAUGAAGGUCCUCUGGAUUGUAAACUUCUUUUAUCUGGGAAGAAAUCCAUUUUUUCUAAAAUGGUUGACGGUACCAGAUGAAUAAGCACCGGCUAACUCCGUGCCAGCAGCCGCGGUAAUACGGAGGGUGCAAGCGUUAUCCGGAUUCACUGGGUUUAAAGGGUGCGUAGGUGGGUCUGUAAGUCCGUGGUGAAAUCUCCGAGCUUAACUCGGAAACUGCCAUGGAUACUAUAGAUCUUGAAUACUGUGGAGGUCAGCGGAAUAUGUCAUGUAGCGG
rnacentral:rRNA from 1 species